CAGCAUCCUCUGAUAGACCACGAGCAGUUUUCCUGUUGCUCUCUGG
rnacentral:snoRNA from 1 species